ACUGAUACCCCUAUUCUGUUGGAAGUGUUCUAAUACCUAAGUGGUUUCCCACUAUUUGGGUGUGAUGAUGUUGGUUGGGGGUAUAUGUAUGGAUAGGUGGAUCGGAUGAUGUGUUCCUGUUAGAGAUAGAAUACAUCAUCGGAAUAUUUUUUUUGCCGGUGUGGGUGGGAUGAUAAUUUCAGCACUCCCUCAUUUGGCCAUCUACCACACAGUGGAUUAAAAAAAAGAGUGAUAGUGGUAAAAUUAAAUUCAAAUAUCCGAAAAAAGAAACAGUUGGACCAGCAAAGAAAGAAAAGAUAUUUAAGAAAGUGAAAUAAGUGGAAUGUUAAUUGGUGCCAACAAUUUUGGAAAAACAAAAGAACCCAGCAAACAACAAGUAAAGUUUGAUUCCCGGCGGCCCGAAUUAAAUUAUGGAGAGCGGGGCCGCCGCCCAAAAAAAAAAAAAAAAACAAAAUUUUUGAAAUUCAAUAAAAUUCAAAAACAGAAAAAAUUUGAAAUUAAAUAAAAUUCAAAAAAAAAAUUUAGAAUACAAAGUUGAAAUUAAAUAAAAUUUAAAAACUGAAAAAAAACGAAUGAAGGAGAAUUGGAAAUUAAAGGAAAUUUAAAUCAAAAAAACUUGAAAGAAAAGGAAAUUUAUACGGGAACCAAAUUGAGAAGAAAACAAAACAAUCAAUUUAUAAAUUUGGCCCACAACAUAGACGUACAUCUCCAUAUCAUAUAUUUCAAAGUACCUAACCGGUGGAUCUUUUUGUGUUUGUGAUUGUCCUAUAUUUAAGUUUUUUUUGAAAUUCAACAAAUUAAAUCGUUAAUUAAUUCAUCGGCGUGGAUGUUAUUUUUUUUUUUGUUUAAUUCCAUAACUUUUUUUGUAUCUUUUUUUAUUGUGAGGUGUGAAAAAAAAGGUUGGUGUUAUUUUCGUGUUCGGUCCCAUAAUUUUUUUGUUGUAUAGGGUCCUAAAAGAUACCUCCACAGAGCUCUUUAGGGGUAAGGAAUUAGGGCGCCGAUAAUUGUAUCCGCUUAACAAAAAAGAAAAUACCACAAAGGGUUCUUCUACGUAAAGGUAGAAACAAAUAAAGACUUAGGACUACCAACCUGACUUUUUUGUUACCAGUUCUUUUUCUUGUUUUUUUUUAUGUUAAUUUUUUUGUUAAUUUAUUUUAUUUAUAAAUCUGAUGAUUAAGCUGUCAAUUAAAUAAAAUUAAACUUCGGACAGAAACGCCGGAAAUAGCAAAAAAAAGUUUUUUUAUGUUUCGCCCAAGCGAAACGAUGAGAGCUUAAGUUCUUUUUUUCAGGGGUGUCGAGGGUAGCGGAGUGGGCAUGGACCUAAGAUGACCUGAAGCCGAUCAUCGACCACAAUUUUGGGGGUAUCCAACACUGGCCGCGGAUACCUAAAGGUAGGGUGGGUAAUGGCCUCACUGCACUAACAUCCGCAGUGCCCUGAUGUGCCAAUAGUCCGUCCGUUUAUGUUUCCUUCCUUUUCCUCAUUCCUUGGCCUGAUAUAUGUUUUUGUCUGCAGGCGAGGUUGAGUUUCGGGGGCAAGAUCCCCCCCCGUCCGACGAGCUGACGCCGUGCACCGCAAGCAGGCCGCGUCCCCCGGAUCUCAACAAUCCCACCUAACCUAUUCCAAAUCUUCCUAUCUCUUUUUCCUACCUCAUCCUUAUCCUACCCUUCCACUUCACCCACCUCCACACCUCCUCUUG